rnacentral:rRNA from 1 species
UUCCGGUUGAUCCUGCCGGAGGUCAUUGCUAUUGGAGUCCGAUUUAGCCAUGCUAGUUGUACGAGUUUGUACUCGUAGCAGAUAGCUCAGUAACACGUGGCCAAACUACCCUAUGGAUCCGGAUACCCUCGGGAAACUGAGACUAAUCCGGAAUACGAUUCCCACGCUGGAAGUGCGGGGAAUCAGAAACGCUCCGGCGCCAUAGGAUGUGGCUGCGGCCGAUUAGGUAGACGGUGGGGUAACGGCCCACCGUGCCAAUAAUCGGUACGGGUUGUGAGAGCAAGAGCCCGGAGACGGUAUCUGAGACAAGAUACCGGGCCCUACGGGGCGCAGCAGGCGCGAAACCUUUACACUGCACGCCAGUGCGAUAAGGGGACUCCGAGUGCGAGGGCAUAUAGUCCUCGCUUUUUGUAACCGUAGGAAGGUUACAGAAUAAGUGCUGGGCAAGACCGGUGCCAGCCGCCGCGGUAAUACCGGCAGCACGAGUGAUGACCGCUAUUAUUGGGCCUAAAGCGUCCGUAGCUGGCCGCGCAAGUCUAUCGGGAAAUCCGCACGCCUAACGUGCGGGCGUCCGGUGGAAACUGCGCGGCUUGGGACCGGAAGACCAGAGGGGUACGUCUGGGGUAGGAGUGAAAUCCCGUAAUCCUGGACGGACCGCCGGUAGCGAAAGCGCCUCUGGAAGACGGAUCCGACGGUGAGGGACGAAAGCUCGGGUCACGAACCGGAUUAGAUACCCGGGUAGUCCGAGCUGUAAACGAUGUCUGCUAGGUGUGCCACAAACUACGAGUUUGUGGUGUGCCGUAGGGAAGCCGUGAAGCAGACCGCCUGGGAAGUACGUCCGCAAGGGUGAAACUUAAAGGAAUUGGCGGGGGAGCACUACAACCGGAGGAGCCUGCGGUUUAAUUGGAUUCAACGCCGGA